rnacentral:tRNA from 2 species
UGGGAUAUAGCUUAAAGGUAAAGCUUUAGUUUUUGGUACUAAAAGAUAUAGGUUCGAAUCCUGUUAUCCCAGC